rnacentral:rRNA from 1 species
AUACGGAGGGUGCAAGCGUUACUCGGAAUCACUGGGCGUAAAGCGCGCGCAGGCGGCUUGAUAAGUUGGAUGUGAAAGCCUACGGCUCAACCGUAGAACUGCAUCCAAAACUGUCAAGCUAGAGUCUGUGAGGGGAAGAUGGAAUUAGUUGUGUAGGGGUAAAAUCCGUAGAGAUAACUAGGAAUACCAAAAGCGAAGGCGAUCUUCUGGAACAGUACUGACGCUGAGGCGCGAAAGCGUGGGGAGCAAACAGCAUUAGAAACCCGUGUAGUCC